GCGGCCGGGCUUGCGUGGCCGUGGCCGCAGCUCCGCGUUCGGGGCCUGGGGCGGCGGGGCGGGCCGAGCCGGCCCCGGCCCAGGGAGGAGGUCUCCAGGAGCGAGGAAGCGCCGUCUGGGCGCUGACACACCCGCGGCCGGGGCUGGGCCGGCCUGGCUGCCCGGUGCGGGGGCGGCCCCCCGGCUCGCCGGCUGCUCCCAGCGCCCUGGCCUGGCCGGCGCGGCGUGGGCCCGGGAAGCGGGCAGGCCGCAGCUGGGCGCUUCGGCUCGUCCCCCUGCUGAGGGCCGCUGCCUGGAAGGGCGCGCUGCUGGCGGAGCUGGCGGCUGCCCAGAGCCGGCUGCAGGGCUUCUGCCCCCGGCUCGGGGAGCUUGGCUAAGCCCUGUGCCCUCGUGCCGUAUGCAGGCCGGCCCCGCCUUGCAUCCUUCAGCCUGCCUUGAGACGGCCCUUGGUGCCGCUGGCCUUCUUUGCCUUGAAGAUCUAACGGCGUUUGGACUUGGAAGUGUUUCUCUUUAAAAGUUGAAAUGCGGAGAAGUUAUUGGAGAAGCAAAGGAAAGCAUGGAUGGAGCAAUCGCAAGCACGGCUACCGGCCACGUCGGUGCAGGAGACCGAGUCAAAACAGCUCUGCUGAAAGGUUAGAACAGGAGGAACAACAGACCCCAGUGAAUGCAGGCCCCAGCAGUGGUGGGGAGCCUUCCUCAUCCAGUUUAACACAGAAUUCUGUAGUUCCAGAACUGCCAGGAUUUUACUAUGACUCAGAAAAGAACCGCUAUUUUCGCCUACUGCCUGGACACAAUAACUACAACCCACUCACCAAGGAGAGCAUUCAGUACAAGGCAACGGAAUCCAAAAGACUGCGACUCUUAGAAGAGGAAGAAAAACAAAAGAAGAAAACAACACGGGCUGGAUUGAACUCAUCUACACUGUUACAAAAAAGGCAGCUGGGUUUGCUCAGCUCCACAAGUUACUGCAGGCUGGUCCAUGAACUAAAAGUGAACUGCAUGCAGAGGAGGAAGAUAGAAAUUCACAGUCCAGAUUCCUCAGUUGCUGGAACCAACAAUUUUAAAAUAAUUGUGGCAGAUGUCGCUUGUGAACGGAUAUUCACUGUGAACGAUGUAGAGCAUGGAGGAUGUAAAUAUGGUAUCAUCAAUCUCAGUGGUUUGGGGAAGGAGUCUCUCACUGUGGAGAUGUAUGACAACCUCUACUUCACAAACCGCAAAGUGAAUUCUGUGUGCUGGGCAUCACUGACUCAUCCAGAUUCUCAUGUUUUGCUGUGUCUCAUGGGAAUUGCAGAAACACCAGGCUGUGCCAGUCUGCUUCCAGCAUCAUUGUUCAGCAGCACUAACCCAGGAGAUAGACCUGGAAUGUUGUGCAGCUUCAAGAUAUCUACUGCCUGGUCCUGUGCUUGGUGCCUGAAUCCCCAAGCAGACAACUGCUUCAGCACAGGCCUGACACGAAGAGUUCUGGUGACCAAUGUAGUGACAGGUCAUCGACAGACAUUUGGAACCAGCAGCGAUGUAUUGGCACAGCAAUUUGCCACACAGACCCCGAUGCUGUACAACGGCUGCCGCUCGGGGGAGGUUUUCAGCAUCGAUGUGCGUCAGCGCAACCGCAAGGGCCAGAGCUGGAAAGCAAUUCGGCUCUUCCACGACUCGGCAGUUACAUCCAUCCGCCUUCUGGAGGCUGAACAUUAUCUGAUGGCAGCAGACAUGGCUGGAAAGAUAAAACUGUGGGACCUGAGAACAGCAAAGUGUGUGAAAGAGUACAAAGGUCAUCACAACGAAUAUGCUCUUCUCCCUUUGCACGUAAAUGAGGAGGAAGGACUUGUUACAGCAGCUUAAAACCAUUACUCCUUGUCCUAUCACUACACAUUCUGGUAAAAAGUCCCAUCUCAGCUUUCCUGUAGCUCCUUCAGGUACUGGAAGGCUGCUAUGAAGUCCCCCUGGGGCCUUCUCUUCUCCAGGCUGAAGAACCCCAACUGUCCCAGCCUGUCUCAUAGGAGAGGUGCUCCAGCCCUCUGAUCAACUUUGUGGCCCUCCUCUAGACUUCCUCCAGGAGCUCCAGUCUGAGAUUAUUUUCUUUUAAGUGGGGGGAAGAGAAGUUGGUCAGGAUUGCUACACCAGAAUUUGGAGUCUCCAAGAUGCCCAUCUGCUUAGAACCAUCCCUUCUCCUCACCCGAGCUCCAAAGAUGC